GGCCGAGGGACAUGUCGAUUCAGGGUUCCUGUAAGGGAAAAUGGCAUCCCCUAAGUUUCUGGAACACCAGCCCUCCCAGGGUAGAAGCUGGAUAUUGACUACCAAGCAGGCUCAUAACUGACACAAAAGUGGACCUUCUGACCUUGCCCUGGACCAGGCUACUGCAUGGAAAAUGAGGCACUGUAACACUACAUGCAAAUCAACUAUCCCUGACCCUUGGAUCCCAGCAAAUCAAACAUAUUCACCCUCAAAAACCUUUCCCCUGCCCAAGGUUUAUACUGCC